rnacentral:rRNA from 1 species
UACGUAGGGAGCAAGCGUUGUCCGGAAUCAUUGGGCGUAAAGCGCGCGUAGGUGGCUUCGUAAGUCCGUUGUGAAAGUCAAAGGCUCAACCUUUGAAAGCCUGAUGGAUACUGUGGAGCUAGAGUACGGAAGAGGCGAGUGGAAUUCCUGGUGGUAGCGGUUGAAUGGCGCAGAUAUCAAGGAGGAACACCAAUGGCGAAGGCAG